UUAAAGCUUCUCUCAGUUCGGAUUGCAGGCUGCAACUCGCCUGCAUGAAGCCGGAAUCGCUAGUAAUCGCGGAUCAGCACGCCGCGGUGAAUACGUUCCCGGGCCUUGUACACACCGCCCGUCACACCACGAGAGUUUGUAACACCCGAAGUCGGUGAGGUAACCUUUUUGGAGCCAGCCGCCUAAGGUGGGAUAGAUGAUUGGGGUGAAGUCGUAACAAGGUAGCCGUAUCGGAAGGUGCGGCUGGAUCACCUCCUUUCUAAGGAA
rnacentral:rRNA from 1 species